AGAGUUUGAUCCUGGCUCAGGACGAACGCUGGCGGCGUGCCUAAUACAUGCAAGUCGAGCGGGACACUUCGGUGUCUAGCGGCGGACGGGUGAGUAACACGUGGGUAACCUGCCUGAUAGACUGGGAUAACGCUUGGAAACGAGUGCUAAUACCGGAUAGUCUUUUGAACCGCAUGGUUUGAAAGGGAAAGAAGCUAUCG
rnacentral:rRNA from 1 species